GGACAAAAAGCGAACUAUUGCUCUCGGUUUCGACCCGAUUAUUGGUGCCGAGCACCUUUGUUCU
rnacentral:tRNA from 1 species